UGGGGAAUAUUGCACAAUGGGAGAAAUCCUGAUGCAGCGACGCCGCGUGGGUGAUGAAGGCCUUCGGGUUGUAAAGCCCUGUCGGCUGGGAACAAGGUAGACGUGCUCAUACCACGUUUGCUUGAGUGUACCAGCAAAGGAAGCACCGGCUAACCCUGUGCCAGCAGCCGCGGUAAUACAGGGGGUGCUAGCGUUGUUCGGAAUUACUGGGCGUAAAGGGCGCGUAGGCGGUCUUGCAAGUCAGGGGUGAAAUCCCGGAGCUUAACUCCGGAAUUGCUUUUGAUACUGUGAGGCUAGAGUGUAUUAGAGGAUGGCGGAAUUCCUAGUGUAGUGGUGAAAUACGUAGAUAUUAGGAAGAACACCGGUGGCGAAGGCGGCCAUCUGGGAUACAACUGACGCUGAGGCGCGAAAGCGUGGGGAUCAAACAGG
rnacentral:rRNA from 1 species